rnacentral:rRNA from 1 species
AGUGCAAUUGAAUAUUUUUGGUUAAUAUAGUUAUUAGUAUAUUUGAGUUUUAUUUUGAUUUUAUUGGGUGAAAUUUCAUUUUUUAGUAUAACUCUUUAUUAUGAACCUGUGAAACUUAAGAGAUAAACUAGGAUUAGAUACCCUAUUAUUUUAAGUGUUAAUUUAAAUUGCCUGGGUAGUAUUAGUUAAGGUCUUUAAACUCAAAGAAUUUGGCGGUAUUUCAUUCCAUUCAGAGGAACCUGUUUCGUAAUUGAUAGUACACAAUUAACUUUACUUAAUUUAUUUGUUUGUAUAUCUCCGUUAUCGGAAAAUCUUUUUGGAGUUAUAAUUUUCCUGUUUUUUCAUUAAAAAUUAUCUCAGGUCAAGGUGCAGCUUAUAGUUAAGUGUAUGAUGGGUUACMAUAAAUUUUUUUAUUAUGGAUUAUGGUUUUGGAAUAUUCUAAUGAAGGUGGAUUUGAUAGUAAUUUAAUUUAUUUAAUUUAAUUGAUAUUGGCUCUGAAA